rnacentral:rRNA from 1 species
AGUGAACGCUGGCGGUAGGCCUAACACAUGCAAGUCGAACGGCAGCACAGUAAGAGCUUGCUCUUACGGGUGGCGAGUGGCGGACGGGUGAGGAAUACAUCGGAAUCUACUUUUUCGUGGGGGAUAACGUAGGGAAACUUACGCUAAUACCGCAUACGACCUACGGUUGAAAGCAGUGGAUCUUCUCACCUGGCGCGGAUGAACGAGCCGAUGUCGGAUUAGCUAGUUGGCGGGCUAAAUGCCCACCAAGUGGGCGAUCCGCAGCCGGUCUGAGAGGAUGGUCAGCCACACUGGAGCUGAGACACGGUCCAUAGUCCUGCGGGAGGCAGCAGUGGGGAAUAUUGGGCAAUGGGGGCAAGCCUGGUCCAGCCAUCCCGCGUGGGUUGAGAAGGCGUUGGGGUUGUAAAGCCCUUUUGUUGGGAAAGAAAAGCAGCAGGUUAAUACCCCGCUGUUCUGACGGUACCCAAAGAAUAAGCACCGGCUAACUUCGUG